rnacentral:rRNA from 1 species
AGAGUUUGAUCAUGGCUCAGGACGAACGCUGGCGGCGCGCUUAACACAUGCAAGUCGAGCGAGAACCAGGGCUUCGGCCCUGGGGACGGCGGCGAACGGGUGAGUAACACGUGGAUAACCUGCCCUCGGCACCGGGAUAGCCCGAGGAAACUCGGAUUAAUACCGGAUAGCCAUUCCGACUCUCGGGUCGGUCUGAAAAGGUAGCUUCGGCCUCUGGCCGAGGAUGGGUCCGCGGCGGAUUAGCUAGUUGGUGGGGUAACGGCCUACCAAGGCUUCGAUCCGUAGCUGGUCUGAGAGGACGAUCAGCCACACUGGGACUGAGACACGGCCCAGACUCCUACGGGAGGCAGCAGUGGGGAAUCUUGCGCAAUGGGCGAAAGCCUGACGCAGCGACGCCGCGUGAGGGAGGAAGGCCUUCGGGUUGUAAACCUCUUUCAGGAGGGACGAAGCUACUCGGGUUAAUAGCCCAGAGGGUGACGGUACCUCCAGAAGAG